GGCGAACGCUGGCGGCGUGCCUAAUACAUGCAAGUAGGACGCAGUUGCGAACGGGCGAGUAACGCGUAGGUAACUACCUAUUAGAGGGGGUUAACCAUUGGAAACGAUAGCUAAUACCGCAUACUAGUAGAUGGACCUGCGUUGUAUUAGCUAGUAGGUAGGGUAAUGGCCUACCUAGGCAACGAUACAUAGCCGAGCUGGACGGGGGGACGGCCACACUGGGACUGUGGCACGGCCCAGACUCCUACGGGAGGCAGCGGUAGGGGAUGUGCGGCAAUGGGGGGAACGCUGACCGGGCAACGCCGCGUGAGUGGAGAAGGUUUUCGGAUCGUAAAGCUCUGUUGUUAAGGAAGCGGUACUUAACCAGAAAGGGACGGCUAACUACGUGCCAGCAGCCGCGGUAAUUC
rnacentral:rRNA from 1 species